GAGUUUGAACCUGGCUCAGGAUGAACGCUGGCGGCGUGCUUAACACAUGCAAGUCGAACGGGAAUGCCACGCUGAUGCGAUUUCGGUCAAAUCAUGUGGCAUUCGAGUGGCGGACGGGUGAGUAACGCGUGGGUAACCUGCCUUACACAGGGGGAUAACACCUGGAAACAGGUGCUAAUACCGCAUAAGCGCACAGGGCCGCAUGGCCCGGUGUGAAAAACUCCGGUGGUGUAAGAUGGACCCGCGUCUGAUUAGCUUGUUGGCGGGGUAGGGGCCCACCAAGGCGACGAUCAGUAGCCGGCCUGAGAGGGUGGACGGCCACAUUGGGACUGAGACACGGCCCAAACUCCUACGGGAGGCAGCAGUGGGGGAUAUUGGACAAUGGGGGAAACCCUGAUCCAGCGACGCCGCGUGAGUGAAGAAGUAUUUCGGUAUGUAAAGCUCUGUCAGCAGGGAAGAAAGAAAUGACGGUACCUGACCAAGAA
rnacentral:rRNA from 1 species